ensembl:lncRNA PPIEL peptidylprolyl isomerase E like (pseudogene)
GGAAGCAAGAUGGCGGCCGCCGAGAGGGUUCACAAAGGGUAGGGUGGUGUGGAGCAAGGCAGGGUCCUCGCAGGCAGUGCCAAGAUUGAGCUGGGGGUGGGCAGAGUGGGCGGGGUGCGGACCCAUGGCCCUACGCAUCCUGGGCCAGGUCUCUUGUGGUGCUUCACGCUCUCGACCUCUCUGGUCCAUUAGAGGAAGGAGGUCCCAGAAUAGCUGGGAAAUUACGAGAACAGCCUCACUGCACGAGUUGGUGAAUGCUGUGAUGGCGAUUGUAUGAUGGACGGUGAUGUUGAAACCAGACUGGGGAAUGACCGCCCCAUCCGGAGAGAAAAGCACCAAGGAUUCUCUUUUGUUGAAUUUGAGUUGGCAGAGGAUGUUGCAGCAGCUGUCAACAACAUGUUUGGUCAGAUGAAGACUGGGUGGAGAAGUUUGCUGGGAAGAGGAUAAAGAGGAAGGUGGUUGAGACUUCCCAAAGCAGAAAGCCAGGAGGGAGAGCCCACUGCUAAAAAAGGCCUAGUCAAAUCCUCAGGUGUACAUGGACAUCAAGAUUGGGAACAAGCCGGCUGGCUGCAUCCAAACCCUCCUGCGUUCCGACGUCGUGCCCAUGACCACAGAAUUUUCUCUACAUGUGCACCCAUUUAAAGGACUCGGCUUCAAGGGAAGCAGCUUCCACCGCAUUAUCCCCCAGUUCAUUUGCCAGGGCAGUGAUUUCACAAACCACGGUGGCACCAGGGGUCUGCGCAGGCAUGGCACUAAGUGUCCCAUGGCACAUUUGGCCCUCAUGGAGGCCUCAAAAGGGCAGGACCAGCACCCUCUUCUACGGAGGAAGGAACGGGCACAGCAGAAACAAGGAGAGUCAGCAAUUACCAGCCAGCCAAGGUCCUGGAAGCUGACGUAGAGCUCGUGCCGACGGCAGACCUGCCGGCCGUGGGAGCCGCGGACGUCAUCUGCAGGGACAGAAGGGGCAAGGUCUUUUCUGGGGUUCCUGCUGUGUGCAGCUACUAUGGGGUACCAGGGUGGGGGAUGCCCUGAUGAGCACAUUUGUCAAAUAAAUGAAUGACAGGAAACCA